rnacentral:rRNA from 1 species
CCUACGGGGGGCAGCAGUGGGGAAUAUUGCACAAUGGGGGAAACCCUGAUGCAGCGACGCCGCGUGAGUGAAGAAGUAAUUCGUUAUGUAAAGCUCUAUCAGCAGGGAAGAAAAUGACGGUACCUGAGUAAGAAGCACCGGCUAACUACGUGCCAGCAACCGCGGUAAUACGUAGGGGGCAAGCGUUAUCCGGAUUGACUGGGUGGAAAGGGAGCGUAGACGGCAGGGCAAGUCUGGAGUGAAAGGCGGGGGCUCAACCCCCGGACUGCUCUGGAAACUGUACGGCUGGAGUGCAGGAGAGGUAAGUGGAAUUCCUAGUGUAGCGGUGAAAUGCGUAGAUAUUAGGAGGAACACCAGUGGCGAAGGCGGCUUACUGGACUGUAACUGACGUUGAGGCUCGAAAGCGUGGGGAGCAAACAGGAUUAGAUACCCGAGUAGUC